rnacentral:rRNA from 1 species
GAUGAACGCUGGCGGCGUGCUUAACACAUGCAAGUCGAACGAAGCACUUAAGAUUGAUUCUUCGGAUGACGUCUUUUGUGACUUAGUGGCGGACGGGUGAGUAACGCGUGGGUAACCUGCCUCACACAGGGGGAUAACAGUUAGAAAUGACUGCUAAUACCGCAUAACCCGAUAGGAUCGCAUGAUCCAGACGGAAAAGAUUUAUCGGUGUGAGAUGGACCCGCGUCUGAUUAGCUAGUUGGUGAGGUAACGGCCCACCAAGGCGACGAUCAGUAGCCGGCCUGAGAGGGUGAACGGCCACAUUGGGACUGAGACACGGCCCAAACUCCUACGGGAGGCAGCAGUGGGGAAUAUUGCACAAUGGGGGAAGCCCUGAUGCAGCGACGCCGCGUGAGUGAAGAAGUAUUUCGGUAUGUAAAGCUCUAUCAGCAGGGAAGAAAAUGACGGUACCUGACUAAGAAGCCCCGGCUAACUACGUG